GUAAGAGAAGUUGCUUGUUAAGAGCUGUCUGGGUCCUGUUUAUAAGUAUUCAGUACAGUGUUAUUUGUAAUCGGAAAAGAUUACAAACAACCUGAAAGUCUAUUAACAAAAGACUUUCAGUUAAAUAACUUACGGUAUAUUCAUACUUUGGAACGCCCUGCAGCUGUAAUAAGAACAGAAAGCUCUAUGGAUUGAUCAUUAAAAUAUACUGGACUAAGAGACUUGUUCAGUGAGAUGGAGCCAUCUACCAACUCAACUUCUAGACUGUGAAACUUCUUGAGGAAGUUUCAAAGGUGAGACUUAAGGGGUUCAGAAUGAGCCUCCCCAGAAUGUGCCACUUUGGCAUGUGGACUAUUUUGAGAUGAAGGCAAUCAAGAUUCAGCAGAUUCAAGAUAAACUUUUAUCUCUCUCUUAACUACCUAAAAGAAUUUAGAUAGGGGGCCUGGCUCAAAGAGACAGCUAUUUCCAGAGAUAAUUUUAUCUUAAUGACCUAUCUGUAUGGCAGGACAAACAUCUAAUUACCAAACAUCUGCCCUUCUUAUUGUCCCGUGAAUUACUCUCCUCCCCUCUUUGGCACCCCAGGCUCCUAUCCCAUUCCUUAGCUCAGGAUGGCAUCUAAGCCUCAAUUGCCCAACUUGUCCUUGGGGUUCACUGUCUUUGUGGGGCCCCAUACAUACCUAAUUAAAUUUGUUUUUCUUCUGUCAAUCUGUCUGCCAAAAAAGAGGGUGCUUGUUGAGGGACUGCUCAGAUUUUCCAGUUUUUUCUUCUCCAGGUGUUUGGAAGCAGGACUGGGAUGGAAUUCAACUUGUAUCUUGGAUAAUUCACCAAGAGAGGAGCCCCAAGAAAG
rnacentral:lncRNA from 1 species